rnacentral:rRNA from 1 species
ACGGUGCUGAAGCAACAAAUGCCCUGCUUCCAGGAAAAGCCUCUAAGCAUCAGGUAACACGAAAUCGUACCCCAAACCGACACAGGUGGUCAGGUAGAGAAUACCAAGGCGCUUGAGAGAACUCGGGUGAAGGAACUAGGCAAAAUGGUGCCGUAACUUCGGGAGAAGGCACGCUGACACGUAGGUGAAGUGAUUUACUCAUGGAGCUGAAGUCAGUCGAAGAUACCAGCUGGCUGCAACUGUUUAUUAAAAACACAGCACUGUGCAAACACGAAAGUGGACGUAUACGGUGUGACGCCUGCCCGGUGCCGGAAGGUUAAUUGAUGGGGUCAGCGCAAGCGAAGCUCCUGAUCGAAGCCCCGGUAAACGGCGGCCGUAACUAUAACGGUCCUAAGGUAGCGAAAUUCCUUGUCGGGUAAGUUCCGACCUGCACGAAUGGCGUAAUGAUGGCCAGGCUGUCUCCACCCGAGACUCAGUGAAAUUGAACUCGCUGUGAAGAUGCAGUGUACCCGCGGCAAGACGGAAAGACCCCGUGAACCUUUACUAUAGCUUGACACUGAACAUUGAGCCUUGAUGUGUAGGAUAGGUGGGAGGCUUUGAAGUGUGGACGCCAGUCUGCAUGGAGCCGACCUUGAAAUACCACCCUUUAAUGUUUGAUGUUCUAACGUGGACCCGUAAUCCGGGUUGCGGACAGUGUCUGGUGGGUAGUUUGACUGGGGCGGUCUCCUCCUAAAGAGUAACGGAGGAGCACGAAGGUUGGCUAAUCCUGGUCGGACAUCAGGAGGUUAGUGCAAUGGCAUAAGCCAGCUUGACUGCGAGCGUGACGGCGCGAGCAGGUGCGAAAGCAGGUCAUAGUGAUCCGGUGGUUCUGAAUGGAAGGGCCAUCGCUCAACGGAUAAAAGGUACUCCGGGGAUAACAGGCUGAUACCGCCCAAGAGUUCAUAUCGACGGCGGUGUUUGGCACCUCGAUGUCGGCUCAUCACAUCCUGGGGCUGAAGUAGGUCCCAAGGGUAUGGCUGUUCGCCAUUUAAAGUGGUACGCGAGCUGGGUUUAGAACGUCGUGAGACAGUUCGGUCCCUAUCUGCCGUGGGCGCUGGAGAACUGAGGGGGGCUGCUCCUAGUACGAGAGGACCGGAGUGGACGCAUCACUGGUGUUCGGGUUGUCAUGCCAAUGGCACUGCCCGGUAGCUAAAUGCGGAAGAGAUAAGUGCUGAAAGCAUCUAAGCACGAAACUUGCCCCGAGAUGA